rnacentral:rRNA from 1 species
AUUGAACGCUGGCGGCAGGCCUAACACAUGCAAGUCGAGCGAGCGGCGGACGGGUGAGUAAUGUAUGGGGAUCUGCCCGAUAGAGGGGGAUAACUACUGGAAACGGUGGCUAAUACCGCAUACUAUCAGAUGAACCCAUAUGGGAUUAGCUAGUAGGUGGGGUAAUGGCUCACCUGGGCGACGAUCCCUAGCUGGUCUGAGAGGAUGAACAGCCACACUGGAACUGAGACACGGCCCAGACUCCUACGGGAGGCAGCAGUGGGGAAUAUUGCACAAGGGGCGCAAGCCUGAUGCAGCCAUGCCGCGUGUGUGAAGAAGGCCUUAGGGUUGUAAAGUACUGUCAGCGAGGAGGCGUUACCCGCAGAAGAAGCACCGGCUAACUCCGUGCCAGCAGCCGCGGUAAUAC